ACCCCUAGCAACAGUUCUGGAAUAUCCCCAGAGUCCUAGCAAAUUUGAAAGACUCCAAUACCCCAAGAGACCUAUCAAGAUAAAGGUUACCUACCCCUCCCAGGAAUUCCUCUAAUCUCCUUUAAAUUAGGCCUGUGAGCUCAUCUGGAUGUCUUCAUCUUGGUAAAUGUUAGACCCCUGCAUGCUGCACUUCUGCAAGAUAAAAUGCUCAAUGCUUUUGCAUACUAUUUGAGUCUGGGGUAUCAUUCUUUGGUGAAUCACAGAUCCUUACAAAACAGGAUCCUUCUAAGCAGUUUGGGCUAUCCUUGAACUACCUAGUAGCCCAGGUUAAUCUUAAGCUCAUUAUCCUCCUGCUUCUGCUGGCUGAAUGCUAAGGUUUAGGUUUUUAACCACUGUCCUUGGUUAAGAAGAUGCAUAAAAUGUUUGAGAUAGGAAUGCUAUAUAUGACAUGGGAUUAUUUUAAACUGGUCUCCAUAAUUGAAAUUAAUGAAUUAUUAGUAAUGUAUCUAGAACUACAGCCAUAUGAACAUAAGACUUCCACCAUACCUAGGUAUUUUUAUGCUGAAGACUGUACUACCUGACAAGCUUGAAUUUUGUUACUUGUGCUAUGUGAAGAAUGCUUUUGUAAAUCAGUCCGUAACAAAUAGUCAUUAGCACUGUUUGUCACAAACCUUCUGUUUGAGACGAGAAAAAGCCAUGGAAAUGAAAUAUAUUAUAAGCUUGUACCCUAAAGCAAAACCAUAAAAUGAAAUCAAUAGCAUUGAGUUGUUUUUAUCACCAGUUUAAGCUUAUCUUAAUUGCUCUGUCAUUUAUUCCUGAUUGAAGGCCUAGUUAACUGAAUCAAAAAUACGAUGACAUGUUUGUAGAAAGGUUUGCUUUUUUUCUUCGACAUUUAAAGAUAAUUAUAAUUUUAC
rnacentral:lncRNA from 1 species